AGAGCGAACGCUGGCGGCGUACCUAACACAUGCAAGUCGAACGAGGAUCACAGGGUUAGCAAUAACUCCGUGGUUCUAGUGGCGCACGGGUGAGUAACACGUGGGUAACCUGCCCUUGAGACUGGGAUACCCCCUCGAAAGGGGGGCUAAUACCGGAUACGUUUCUCGGAUCGAAAGGUCUGAGGAGGAAAGGUGGCGAAAGCUGCCGCUCUUGGAGGGGCUCGCGGCCUAUCAGCUAGUUGGCGGGGUAACGGCCCACCAAGGCUAUGACGGGUAGCUGGUCUGAGAGGACGACCAGCCACACGGGGACUGAGACACGGCCCCGACUCCGUACGGGAGGCAGCAGUGGGGAAUUUCCGCAAGUGGGCGAAAGCCGUGACGGAGUGACGCCGCGUGGUGGGACGAAGGCCUUCGGGUACGUAAACCGACGUUGUCCGAGUUCGGGAAAGAGUGGGUGUCGGCGACGAUAACCGGCCGG
rnacentral:rRNA from 1 species